rnacentral:lncRNA from 1 species
AUUUCAUACUUAAAACAAUAUUCUAUGCAAAAUGCUAUAAUUUCCCCUUGCCUCCAAUUUACACAUGAUAAAACUGAGCCUAGUAAAAUUAAGUAUCAUGCCCCAAAGUUCUCUGCUUAGUAAGAAGUAGAGGCAAGCCCAAACCUAAGUCAUCUGAUUUCAGAGCCCAUACAGUUAAAUGCUCUAAAUGCAGCUUCCCGUGAUGAUGGUGACUAUGAGAGCCUGUCACAUAUGAUGUAGGACAGUGCUUCCCUGUAACAUGUGCAAGAUUCCCGUGAUGAUGGUGACUAUGAGAGCCUGUCACAUAUGAUGUAGGACAGUGCUUCCCUGUAACAUGUGCAAGAUUCCCAUGAUGAUGGUGACUAUGAGAGCCUGUCACAUAGGAUGUAGGACAGUGCUUCCCUGUAACAUGCACAAGAUUCACCCAGGGAUCUCUUUAAAAUGCAAAACCAUAGACCACACUUUGACUGGCUUGGAUAAGGGGUCAGAGCAUCGAAAUGAGUGUGUAGGUGACUGUGCUAAAAUUCUCCUGCUCAUGUGGGCACUGGCUCAUGAUAUUAACAAAGCUUAGGACCUCUAGUCCUUUCUGGAAAGAAAAUACACAUACAUAGCAUGUGACUGUGCAUAUGGAAUAUCUGUUGUGUUCUGGACAUUGUGCUGGACAACAGAGAUAAGAAGUCAAAUAUCCCUUGUCUCUAUCUGAAAGGAGCUUCC